rnacentral:rRNA from 1 species
ACAUUUCUUUUUUGGAUCAUCUAAAAAGUAAAGUCUGCCCACUGUUUAAAUAAAGGGCCGCGGUAUUAUGACCGUGCAAAGGUAGCAUAAUCAUUAGUCUUUUAAUUGGGGAAUGGAAUGAAUGGCUUAAUGAUUUUUUACUUUUAUUUAUAUACAAUUAAAAUUUUGAUUUUAAGUGAAAAUACUUAAAUUUUUUAAUUAGACGAUAAGACCCUAUAGAAUUUUAUUUUUAUUAAUUAUAUUAAAAUUAUAAUUUAAAAAAUUUAAAUGGGGCAUUUAUUGAAUAUAUUUAAUUUCUUAAUUAAAAAAAUCUUUUAUUAUAAAUUUUAAAUAAAUUACCUUAGGGAUAACAGCGUAAUAAUUUUUGAGAGUUCAUAUCGACAAAAUAGUUUGCGACCUCGAUGUUGAAUUAAAAUUCCUUUAUAAAGCAGCUUUUAUGCAAGGUAGUCUGUUCGACUAUAAAAUUUUUACAUGAUCUGAGU